UCAUACGGGUUUGAGGUUUAAACUGGGCUAAUUUUUAAGUAGGCCGAAGCUUUUAAUUGAACAAAUAUAUUAGUCAUAGACUCAUUUUUAUAGAUAAGUAUUUAAGGGAUUUUAAAGCAUAAUUUUAAAGUAUAAUUUUUAAAUAUCUUUUGAGUCCAUUAUUUAAGUAAUAUU